rnacentral:rRNA from 1 species
AAUGAACGCUGGCGGCGUGCUUAACACAUGCAAGUCGUACGAGAAAUCCCGGGCUUGCCUGGGAAAGUAAAGUGGCGCACGGGUGAGUAACGCGUGGGUAAUCUGCCCUCGGGUUCGGGAUAACAUUGCGAAAGCGGUGCUAAUACCGGAUAAUAUUCAGGUCUCUUCGGAGGUUUGGAUCAAAGGUGGCCUCUACAUGUAAGCUACUGUCUGAGGAGGAGCUCGCGUACCAUUAGCUAGUUGGUGAGGUAACGGCUCACCAAGGCCGCGAUGGUUAGCUGGUCUGAGAGGAUGAUCAGCCACACUGGAACUGACACACGGUCCAGACUCCUACGGGUGGCUG